rnacentral:rRNA from 1 species
GGGAUUGCCUCAGUAACGGCGAGUGAAGCGGCAACAGCUCAAAUUUGAAAUCUGGCCCCUUUUCGGGGUCCGAGUUGUAAUUUGUAGAGAGUGUUUCGGGCGAGACCACGGUCUAAGUCCAUUGGAACAUGGCGUCAUAGAGGGUGAGAAUCCCGUCUGCGACCGUGGCUCGAGCCCAUGUGAAGCCUCUUCGACGAGUCGAGUUGUUUGGGAAUGCAGCUCAAAAUGGGUGGUAAAUUUCAUCUAAAGCUAAAUACUGGCUGGAGACCGAUAGCGCACAAGUAGAGUGAUCGAAAGAUGAAAAGCACUUUGGAAAGAGAGUUAAACAGUACGUGAAAUUGUUGAAAGGGAAGCGCUUGCAACCAGACCUGUCCGUAGGUGAUCAGCCGCUGUUCUCAGCGGUGCACUCGCUCUGCGAUCAGGCUAGCAUCGGUUUCGGCGACCGGAUAAAGGCCUUGGGAAUGUAGCUUCCUUUCGGGGGAGUCUUAUAGCCUUCGGUGCAAUGCGGCCAGCCGGGACCGAGGACCGCGCUUCGGCUAGGAUGCUGGCGUAAUGGUUGUAAGCGACCCGUCUUGAAACACGGACCAAGGAGUCUAACAUCUAUGCGAGUGUUUGGGUGUCAAGCCCAUGCGCGGAAUGAAAGUGAACGGAGGUGAGAACCCUUAAGGGCGCAUCAUCGACCGAUCCAGAUGUCUUCGGAUGGAUUUGAGUAUGAGCAUAGCUGUUGGGACCCGAAAGAUGGUGAACUAUGCCUGAAUAGGGUGAAGCCAGAGGAAACUCUGGUGGAAGGCUCGCACGCGGUUCUGACGUGCAAAUACGAUCGUCAAAUUUUGGGUAUAGGAGU